rnacentral:rRNA from 1 species
UACGUAGGGUGCGAGCGUUAAUCGGAAUUACUGGGCGUAAAGCGUGCGCAGGCGGUUUUGUAAGCCAGAUGUGAAAUCCCCGGGCUUAACCUGGGAAUGGCAUUUGGGACUGCAAGGCUUGAGUGCGGCAGAGGAGACUGGAAUUCCUGGUGUAGCAGUGAAAUGCGUAGAUAUCAGGAGGAACAUCGAUGGCGAAGGCAGGUCUCUGGGCUGAACACUGAC